GACAGAGGGUGCAAACGUUGUUCGGAAUUACUGGGCAUAAAGAGCACGUAGGUGGUUCGUUAAGUCACGUGUGAAAUCCCUCAGCUUAACUGGGGAACUGCGUGUGAUACUGGAUGGCUUGGAUUUGGGAGAGGGAUGCGGAAUUCCAGGUGUAGCGGUGAAAUGCGUAGAUAUCUGGAGGAACACCGGUGGCGAAGGCGGCAUCCUGGACCAAUAUUGACGCUGAGGAGCGAAAGCCAGGGGAGCAAACGGG
rnacentral:rRNA from 1 species